rnacentral:rRNA from 1 species
UACAGAGGUCUCAAGCGUUGUUCGGAUUCAUUGGGCGUAAAGGGCGCGUAGGUGGCGCGGGCAGUCAACGGUGAAAGUUCGGGGCUCAACCCUGAAUCGGCCGUCGAUACUCCCGGGCUUGAGCACUGUAGAGGCAGAUGGAAUUCCGGGUGUAGCGGUGGAAUGCGUAGAGAUCCGGAAGAACACCGGUGGCGAAGGCGGUCUGCUGGGCAGUAGCUGACACUGAGGCGCGACAGCGUGGGGAGCAAACAGG